rnacentral:tRNA from 1 species
GGGGAUGUAGGUUAGCAUGGUAUACUGCCAGUUUCGGGUACUGGAGUUCAUGGGUUCAAGUCCCAUCAUCCCCA